AACGUAGGACACGAGCGUUAUCCGGAGUUACUGGGCGUAAAGGGCGUGCAGGCGGCAUGGUAAGUCUGAUGUGAAAGCUCCCGGCUCAACCGGGAGAGGACAUUGGAGACUGCCAAGCUCGAGGCAGAUAGAGGGAUGUAGAAUUCCGGGUGUAGUGGUGAAAUUCGUAGAUAUUCGCAAGAACACCAGUGGCGAAGGCGGCUUACUGGUCCGGUUCUGACGCUGAGGCGCGAAAGCGUGGGGAGCAAACAGG
rnacentral:rRNA from 1 species